GAUGAACGCUAGCGGGAGGCCUAACACAUGCAAGUCGAACGGGAUUGGGAGCUUGCUCCCAUGAGAGUGGCGCACGGGUGAGUAACGCGUAUGCAACCUGCCUUUAACAGAGGGAUAGCCCAUAGAAAUGUGGAUUAAUACCUCAUAGUUCUUUGUUCCGCAUGGGAUGGAAGAUAAAGCUCCGGCGGUUAAAGAUGGGCAUGCGUGACAUUAGCUAGUUGGUAAGGUAACGGCUUACCAAGGCUACGAUGUCUAGGGGUUCUGAGAGGAUGAUCCCCCACACUGGUACUGAGACACGGACCAGACUCCUACGGGUGGCAG
rnacentral:rRNA from 1 species